UACGUAGGGUGCGAGCGUUGUCCGGAAUUAUUGGGCGUAAAGGGCUCGUAGGCGGUUUGUCACGUCAGGAGUGAAAACUCGGGGCUCAACCCCGAGCCUGCUUCUGAUACGGGCAGACUAGAGGUAUGCAGGGGAGAACGGAAUUCCUGGUGUAGCGGUGAAAUGCGCAGAUAUCAGGAGGAACACCGGUGGCGAAGGCGGUUCUCUGGGCAUUACCUGACGCUGAGGAGCGAAGGUGUGGGGAGCGAACAGG
rnacentral:rRNA from 1 species